rnacentral:lncRNA from 1 species
CUGCAGUAAGACUGACUCCUUCACACCAAUGUCUCUGCCAGGUAAGACUGUCUCCUUCACUACGAUGUCCUCUGCCAGGUAAGACUGACUCCUUCACCACCAAUGUCUCUGCCAGGUAAGAGCUCCUUCACCACCAAUGUCUCUGCCAGGUAAGACGUGUCUCCUUCACUACCAAUGUCUCUGCCAGGUUCUGGCUUGCUGACUGCCCCCAGAUCCCAGAGACUGUAGGCCUUGCCACCAGCUGUACAGAGAGCUCAUCUGUGUUCCUUACAUGGCCAAUUCUGGUGUUCGCCAAGUGAACGACCCUAUGGGU